rnacentral:tRNA from 7 species
AGGGCUAUAGCUCAGCGGUAGAGCACCUCGUUUACACACCGAGA